AACAUACUCCCUCCGUUCCAAAUUACUCGUCGCAGAAAUGGAUGUAUGUAGAACUAAAAUACAUCUAGAUACAUUCAUACCUGCGACAAGUAAUUCGGAACAGAGGGAGUAUGCA
rnacentral:pre_miRNA from 1 species